UAGCUACAAAAUAACUUAUUCUGUAGCCACUUUGAGUUACGAUAAUUACUAUAUUAAUUUAUGAGAUUAUAGUAAUUCCAUACUAAGUGGUUUAAUAUAAUGUCAUGGUAAAUGUCUCCAUGUGUUAUAGUAACCCAAUUAUUGUAAAUAUGUAUUGAUAUUAUCAUAAAUUAGUAUAUAAAAUUAUCGUAAAUGGAGGUGGCUACAAAAUAACUUUUAUUUUGUAGUUC
rnacentral:pre_miRNA from 1 species